UACGUAGGCAGCGAGCGUUGUUCGGAGUUACUGGGCGUAAAGGGUGUGUAGGCGGUUGUUUUAGUUUGGUGUGAAAUCUCCCGGCUCAACUGGGAGGGUGCGCCGAAUACUGAAUGACUUGGAGUGCGGGAGAGGAGAGUGGAAUUCCUGGUGUAGCGGUGAAAUGCGUAGAUAUCAGGAGGAACACCGGUGGUGUAGACGGCUCUCUGGACCGUAACUGACGCUGAGACACGAAAGCGUGGGUAGCAAACAGG
rnacentral:rRNA from 1 species